rnacentral:rRNA from 1 species
UACGUAGGGACCGAGCGUUGUCCGGAAUCAUUGGGCGUAAAGAGCGUGUAGGCGGCCAAUUAAGUCCUGCGUGAAAUCUCGGGGCUCAACCCCGAGCGGUCGUGGGAAACUGGUUGGCUAGAGUGCGGGAGAGGAGAGUGGAAUUCCUGGUGUAGCGGUGAAAUGCGCAGAUAUCAGGAGGAACACCGGUGGCGAAGGCGACUACCUGGCCUGUUUCUUGACGCUGAGGCGCGAAAGCUAGGGGAGCAAACGGG